UUCCAGACUCCUACGGGAGGCAGCAGUGGGGAAUAUUGCACAAUGGGGGAAACCCUGAUGCAGCAACGCCGCGUGAGUGAAGAAGUCAUUCGUGAUGUAAAGCUCUAUCAGCAGGGAAGAAAAUGACGGUACCUGAGUAAGAAGCCCCGGCUAACUACGUGCCAGCAGCCGCGGUAAUACGUAGGGAGCGAGCGUUGUCCGGAAUUACUGGGUGUAAAGGGAGCGUAGGCGGGGAUGCAAGUUGGGUGUCAAAACUACCGGCUCAACUGGUAGUCGCACUCAAAACUGCAGCUCUUGAGUGAAGUAGAGGCAGGCGGAAUUCCUAGUGUAGCGGUGAAAUGCGUAGAUAUUAGGAGGAACACCAGUGGCGAAGGCGGCCUGCUGGACGAUGACUGACGUUGAGGCUCGAAAGCGUGGGGAGCAAGCAGGAUUAGAUACCCCGGUA
rnacentral:rRNA from 1 species